rnacentral:rRNA from 1 species
AUUGAACGCUGGCGGCAGGCCUAACACAUGCAAGUCGAGCGGGGGUAGCAAUACCCUAGCGGCGAACGGGUGAGGAAUGCUUGGGAAUCUGCCUGGUAGUGGGGGGAUAACGUUCCGAAAGGAACGCUAAUACCGCAUACGUCCUACGGGAGAAAGGGGGGGAUCUUCGGACCUCUCGCUAUCAGAUGAGCCCAAGCGGGAUUAGCUAGUUGGUGAGGUAAAGGCUCACCAAGGCGACGAUCCCUAGCUGGUCUGAGAGGACGACCAGCCACACUGGGACUGAGACACGGCCCAGACUCCUACGGGAGGCAGCAGUGGGGAAUAUUGGACAAUGGGCGCAAGCCUGAUCCAGCCAUGCCGCGUGAGUGAUGAAGGCCUUAGGGUUGUAAAGCUCUUUUGCCGGGGACGGAUAAUGACGGUACCCGGAGAAUAAGUCCCGGCUAACUUCGUGCCAGCAGCCGCGGUAAU